rnacentral:rRNA from 1 species
AUUGAACGCUGGCGGCAUGCCUUACACAUGCAAGUCGAACGGCAGCGCGGGAGCAAUCCUGGCGGCGAGUGGCGAACGGGUGAGUAAUGCAUCGGAACGUGCCUAGUAGUGGGGGAUAACUGCUCGAAAGAGCAGCUAAUACCGCAUACGACCUGAGGGUGAAAGGGGGGGAUCGCAAGACCUCUCGCUAUUAGAGCGGCCGAUGUCGGAUUAGCUAGUUGGUGGGGUAAAGGCCCACCAAGGCAACGAUCCGUAGCUGGUCUGAGAGGACGACCAGCCACACUGGGACUGAGACACGGCCCAGACUCCUACGGGAGGCAGCAGUGGGGAAUUUUGGACAAUGGACGCAAGUCUGAUCCAGCCAUGCCGCGUGCGGGAAGAAGGCCUUCGGGUUGUAAACCGCUUUUGUCAGGGAAGAAAUCUUCUGGGCUAAUACCCUGGGAGGAUGACGGUACCUGAAGAAUAAGCACCGGCUAACUACGUGCCAGCAGCCGCAGUAAAAC